rnacentral:rRNA from 1 species
GUCCUAUAGAAGUAUAGUUUUAGGUUUAACCUGCUCUAUGAUUUAUUAAAUGGCCGCGGUAUUUUAACCGUGCAAAGGUAGCAUAAUCAUUUGUCUUUUAAUUGUAGGCUGGAAUGAAUGGUUGGACGAGAGUCUGUCUUUCUUUAUAUAAUAAAAAUAAUUUAAUUUUUUAGUUAAAAAGCUAAAAUUUUUUUAUGGGACGAGAAGACCCUAUAGAACUUUAUUUAAGGAAUAUUAAUAUUAUUUUGGAAUAUAUUGUUUUAUUAAUAUUGAUUAAAUUAUGUUGGGGUGACAUUGAAAUUUAAUAAACUUUCUUAUUUUAUUUAUCAUAAAUUAGUGUUUAAUUGAUCCAAUAUUAUUGAUUAAUAGUUUAAGUUACCUUAGGGAUAACAGCGUUAUUUAAUUGGAGAGUUCAAAUCGAUAAUUAAGUUUGCGA